UUUAUUUAUUUUUUUUUUGUCGGUGUUUCUUUCCAACUUCUCAACCUCUCGGGUCGAGACGCGAGGGGUGGGGGAGUGGGAGGGUGGGUUUGUAUGGAAGUUUCUCUUGAAAUGAGAGAAAUAAACAAGGUAUGGAAAAAAACUUCUGCAAAGGGGGAGAGAGAAAAAGAGAGAGAGAGAGAGAGAACUCCGCGCCGCUCUUGUGGUCAGAGCGUUCAACUCUUUAAGUUAGUGCGCUCCAGCCUUUUCGCAAGCCCCAUGAAGUACAUCAUUCAAAUCGUCCCCCACUGCAUCGACACAUCGUCUGGAGGAGAAUAUACAUCCCUGACCGCUCUCCACAAAGACUAUGGUGACCUUGAACACUCCUGAAGUUUACCGAACCUGUUCAGGACGAACUUGAGCGUCACUGGUUUCUCCAAGAAUGCAGAACGUUACAGGUGAACGGUGAAGUUGGCUUGACUGAAGACUGGAGAUUACUGCGGAUAAGGCAGCAUCUGUGGAAAGAAAGCGAGCUAACGUUUCAGGUCGAGAUAACCGAGAAUCUGGAUGGAUCUCUCUUCCUGUGACUUGGCCCAAAUUGUCCCAUCUCCUCCCAUUCAUCUACUUGAGUUUGAGAAACACAAAUUCUUCCAACUAAUAUUGAUCUAUCAGUGUCAGUGUACUCGACAGAAGAACAAUCUAUGAAACUGACCCAGAUAAAUGCGAUAAGGUGUUUCUAGAUAACACAUUUUAUUAAUAAAAUUAUGAUGAUUAUUCAGAUUUGUAAACCUCACCCGCCCAUAAUUAUAUUUCACGAAUGUUUGCAGUUGUCCAGCACUAGAACUGAAUUGUGUUGUAUAUGGAUUCGCUUGUACAUUUCAGUCUUUGGAGUCCAUCGUGAAUGCUGAUAUUUCAGAUUCUAUGAGCCUCAUUAUGUAAGUUUUCAAAGCUUUAAAACGUACAUUCUAUCAGAAUUAGCUAAAGGAUCAAAAUACCAUAUUUAAAAGGGAAGGCGUGGAGACGUUGACCCGACUCGCCAAUAGUUAUGCCCCUAAGUCUUUUUUAAUUAUGAAUGAAGUUUCUGACGUUCAAGUGGAUACAUUCGGCCCCAUGCUUCGCGUGGAUGCCGUUUCGUCUUCCCUCUUUGAUGGCCAGUGAUGUUUAAUUUUCUUUCCAAACUUCUAAACACCAGCUUCAGUUCAGAGUGUUAGGUGUUAAUGUGGUUGGCCAAGGGAUAAUCGAAUUGCUUUCAUGUUUUUACUUCUAGGCAAGUAAUGUGCAGAAUUCGUAGGCCUCAUUGUUUAUCUGGUAAAUUACAGAUCUUAGACAACUAGUUUAUUUUUAUUGCACUAUAAAUCUUUUUUUUCCAUAGACAAUGUAUAUGGUAAAACAGACAAAAACAGAAAUUUCGGGAGAAGCUCAGCAGGUCUAGUAGCACCUACGGGGAGAAAACACCUUGAACGUUUUGAGCUCAGGGACCAUUCUUCAGAAUGUAUGUACAGUAGUGGAUUUUGGGCGUGAAUAGAUCAACUAAGAAGCUAUCUCUCCGCCACCCACUCUUCCACUCUCCACCUACAUAAUCAGUCCAAAGAUGUGCAGGUCAGGUGAAUUGGCCAGGCUAA